rnacentral:lncRNA from 1 species
CUUACGUCUAUAGCUCUCCUCCACCACCAUCUCCUUCCCCACCCCCUCCUUACGUCUAUAGCUCUCCACCACCACCAUCUCCUUCGCCACCUCCUCCAUAUGUCUAUAGCUCUCCUCCACCACCAUCUCCUUCCCCACCCCCUCCUUACGUCUAUAGCUCUCCACCACCACCAUCUCCUUCGCCACCUCCUCCAUAUGUCUAUAGCUCUCCUCCACCACCAUCCCCUUCACCUCCACCACCUUAUGUCUACAAGUCUCCCCCACCACCAUCUCCAUCACCACCCCCACCUUAUGUCUAUAAAUCUCCUCCACCGCCGUCUCCAUCUCCACCAC